AGUGGGGAAUAUUGGACAAUGGGCGAAAGCCUGAUCCAGCAAUGCCGCGUGUGUGAAGAAGGCCUGCGGGUUGUAAAGCACUUUCAGUGGGGAAGAAAAGUGCAGCGCUAAUAUCGCUGCAUCUUGACGUUACUCACAGAAGAAGCACCGGCUAACUCCGUGCCAGCAGCCGCGGUAAUACGGAGGGUGCGAGCGUUAAUCGGAAUUACUGGGCGUAAAGCGCACGUAGGCGGUCAGGCAAGUCGGGUGUGAAAGCCCUGGGCUCAACCUGGGAAUUGCAUUCGAAACUAUCUGACUAGAGUAUGGGAGAGGGAAGCGGAAUUUCCGGUGUAGCGGUGAAAUGCGUAGAUAUCGGAAGGAACACCAGUGGCGAAGGCGGCUUCCUGGACUAAUACUGACGCUGAGGUGCGAAAGCGUGGGGAGCAAA
rnacentral:rRNA from 1 species